CUUUUUCGACCUAUUUUCUAAACACUAUUUGUUACUGGACCGUAGGAAGCUCCAGCAGAGGUGGGCCCACCACCUUCUUAAGGCACAGCUGCCAGAUGAGAUAUGGACGAAAGUGUUGAGGUCCACUCAAUUGAUAGAUGUCAACGAGCGAUUCUUUAAACAAAUGAUGAAACUCAGCCAGGCAUGCAUACCAAAAUGCUUGUCAGUUUCAGAAGAGAGUGGUCCAAAAGCAUUUAAUGUGAAAGUGAAAGAGUUCAUGGCAGAGAAGGAGUUAAGAUCAGGUCAACCUAAAUUGAAAACCCCAAGUCAGCCUCCCACUCCUGGAUGAAGAAAAUCAUGUAGAAUUUGAUGGCAAUGCUGAUCUGUUUGAUGAUAUUGACCAUCAUCAGCCAGACAUUGAACCGGCUAUAGAUUACAGACAUGAGUAUGAGGAUCUGCUGGUCGCACAUGAACAUUUGAAGAAGGAGAUGGAAAAUGUGAAGAAGUUAAAAAGGGAGGAACAUGAUUUCCAAGUGGGUGAAGCUGUUCAAGCCAAGUGGACGGAAAAGGGAAAGUCAACAUGGCGAUCAGCCAAAGUGAUUGGGAAAGAUCUUACACUGGAUGUUGAGUGGGACUGUGACAAAAAGGUUUCCUCAAUAUCACCAAUCCAUCUAAGAAGGAUAUAAGACAUCUGGCUACAUCUACUGGACUUAAUUUAUCUGUAAAUGAAAUUUAUUUGUUUGAUUAUGAAAUGUCAUUACUGUGCUAGAGCUGUUUUGAUGAUUAAUGCAUGUGUCUAUGAAUCAUUUUUGUUUAUUGACAUAGAAGUAAUUUUUAUCAUUACACCAUCUUCUGAUAAAAAUUAUUUUGUUUAGAUAAUUUCAAGACAUUUGCACAUAUGAUAAAACAUUAUCUCACACAACCCUGGAGUUGUUAAUAUGAUGGUCAUAAUGAAAAAUUAUUUAGAUAUUCUUUGGUUGUGGUCUGGUAUGGCUAUGUUGAGUUAUUAUUAUUUUUGAUUAAUUAAUUUUCAUUUAACUAGUUUUUAUCAUUACUUAGUUCUGACAAGAAUUAUUUGAUGUAUUUAAAUAAUGAUUUUGAUAAUAAUGCUUAAUUUAAUCAUGGUGUUGUAUAUAGCCAUGACAUCAAUAAUGUCAAAGAUUUUAUGUAUGAUAUUAAAUUGGAUUAAUUGAUUUUAUCUCAUUGUUGAAUAUUGUUGUGUGAAACCUUGAUGACAUAAAACAUUAAAGUAUAGGUUCUUCUCUUAAAGCUGCCUUCUAACAGAUUGAACGUUUGACAAAAAACAUUGUCUUAGGAUGAGCCAAUUUAUGCGAAAAAUGCAUACAAACGAUUGAUAUAAAUUAUAUCAAUCGUUUCUAUGCAUUUUUCGCAUAAAUACUUUAUAAACCAAUCUGAGACUCAGAUUGCAGAUUGUCAUAUUUUAUUUCAGAAAUUGAUGUUUAAACUUAUGCAUUUUUCUAAAACAGAAACACUUAUAGCCAUAAACAUUAUUUUUGAAUUGAAGUAUGAAAAUCUGCUCUGAUCUUUUAUCAACAAUCUUUGAUUACUGCUUUGCAGAUAUUUAAGCAAAAAUUUGCUCAGUCCAAGACAAAAAAUGAAAGAAGUCAAAAGAGCCAAAUUGUGAGAGAGCAGCUUUAAUGUCUUGAGUUGUUUAAUAUAUAUUUUAUAUAGCUAGAACUGAUUUCAACCAAAGUGUUUCAAAGAUAAGAAGCUUAAGCUUUAACAAAAAUGAUGUUCAAUCUGUGAGAGUGCAGCUUUAAGAAUUAAAGAAAAGUUUGUACCUGUAUUUAUUUGCAAGUUUGCCUCACCUACAUCAUAUAACCUUUUUUUUUUUAGAGUUUUAGACCCCUUUAGAACCCUUAUUCAAUAUUCUUACAAAUCAUUGUGUUUUUUUUUAAUCUUUACAGGACAAAUGUCAUAAAUAAAUGGAUUGUCAUUAUAUAAAAUAUAUAAUAUGCAUCACAAACUGUCACAUAAUAUGCUCAAUGUCUUUCACUUCAACUUUGUCUUUCAUGUGAAUCUGUAAAUUCUCUAUGUUAACUGUUUUUGUCUGUUAUUAACUCAAAUUGAAUUGCUUUUCAGCUCGACUAUUUGAAGAAUAAGGAGAGCUAUCCUAGUCACCCGAGCGUCGGUGUCGGCGUAACCACUUAUGUUAAAGUUUUUGUAAGAGUUUGUGUACCACCUCAAAUAUUGACAUAUGGCUUUGAAACUUUGCACACUUGUUCAACAUCAUGCCCCCACCCUGUACACAGGAGGAGGUAACUCUAUCAAGGAUUUUGACAAUAUUAUGCCCCUUUUUUUACUUAGAAUUUACGUUAAAGUUUGCGUACUACCUCAAAUAUUUUCAAAGUCCAUUGACAUCUGGCUUUGAAACUUUGCACACUUGUUCACCAUUAUGCCCCCAACCUGUACACAGGAGGAGGUAACUCUAUCAAGCAUUUUGACAAAAUUAUGCCCCUUUUUCAACUUGGAAUUUAUGUUUAAGUUUGCGUACCACCUCAAAUAUUUUCAAAGUCCAUUGACAUCUGGCUUUGAAACUUUGCACACUUGUUCACCAUUAUGCCCCCAACCUGUACACAGGAGGAGGUUACUCUAUCAAGCAUUUUGACAAAAUUAUGCCCCUUCUUCUACUUAGAAUUUAUGUUAAAGUUUGCGUACCACCUCAAAUAUUUUCAAAGUCCAUUGACAUCUGGCUUGGAAACUUUGCAAGCUUGUUCACCAUCAUACCCCCAACCUGUACACAGGAGGAGGUAACUCUAUCAAGCAUUUUGACAAAAUUAUGCCCCUUUUUCGACUUGGAAUUUAUGUUAAAGUUUGCAUACCACCUCAAAUAUUUUCCUUUCAAUUUAUGUAAAUAUCUCAGCCCAUCAUGUAUUGCAUUGAAAUCUAAUCUAACAGUGAUCCCUGCAUGUUUCGCCAAAACUGUUCAAUCCAUUCACCGAAAAGCGGCGGAAUAGUCGAGCGCGCUGUCUCUGUGACAGCUCUUGUUUAUGUACCGAGUACAUCUUCUUAGAAAAUAGUUUAGUUCAUCAAAUAGAAAAAUUUGUUAUAUUUUUUUUAUUCUUAUAUAUCUGGUACAUUAUUUUUUCUUCAAUUGAUUAGAUAUAAACUAUUUCAAUUUUUUUACAAACCAAACAUUUUCUGUAAUGACAUUUUUUUAAUUUUUUUUUUAAUUUUAAGUUGUUAAGUUGUCGAGAACAGUUUUUAUCAAAUCACUACCAAACAUUUUCUCUUUGACUGUUUUUGUUUUGAUUUGAUUUUCAUGGUUUCUACUGAUUAGAAAUGGUUUUGAAAAACUUUCUCUUUAGACAUUAUUUGUCAAGUUUUUAGCUUUUAUUGUUAAGCAUUUUACCACAUCCAAUUGUUUGGACGACCGAACAUUUUUUCUUUGGACAUUUUUGUCUAGUUUUUAGCUUUCAUUGUUAAGCAUUUUGCCACAUCCAAUUGUUCGGACGACCGAACAUUUUCUCUUAUAAAAAUUGUCUACUUUAUAAUUUUUAUGCUUUGAAAUUUGGUAGGUCAAUCAAACAUUUUGAAAAUUAGAAUACUGUUUGUCAAUGGUUUUACAUUUGACCACUUAACUUUGUUCGGACGACCGAACAUUUUGUAUCAAUUUCAAGUUUUGAUUUUAGUUUGACCAUUUUCAAAUUGUUAAUUACAUCGAAAUCCUUAUUCGCAAUUUUCAAGCAUUUUGACCACAUCCAAUUGUUCGGACGACCAAACAUUUUCUCUUUGGACAUUAUUUGUCAAGUUUUUAGCUUUUAUGGUAAAGCAUUUUAGCACAUCCAAUUGUUUGGACGUCCGAACAUUGUCUCUUUUGAAUAUUGUCUACUUUAUAAUUUCAUGAUUUGAAAUUUGGUUGGACUAUCAAACAUUUGAAAAAUAAGAAUACUGUUUUUCAUAUGUUUUACAUUUUGUCCACUAAACCGAACAUUUUGAAUCAAUUUCAAGUUUCGAUUUAAGUUUGACCAUUUUAAAAUUGUUAAAUACAUCAAAAUAUUUACUCUCAAUUUAAAAACUUUUUGACCACAUCCAAUUGUUCGGACGACCGAACAUUUUGUAUCAAUUUCAAGUUUCGAUUUUAAUUUGACUGUUUACAAUUUGUUAUCAUUACUGAACAUUUUGUGAAUUGAUAGUUUUGAAUAGUUUAAAUUCUGUCUUGUUAUUUUUUUUCAUUUGUUCGGUGGACAGAACAUUUUCUUAUAUCUGACUCUUUUGGAUGGAAUAAUGCUAUGAAA